AUUGAACGCUGGCGGCAGGCCUAACACAUGCAAGUCGAACGAGUGGCGGACGGGUGAGUAAUAUAUGGGAAACUGCCCGAUGGAGGGGGAUAACUACUGGAAACGGUCGCUAAUACCGCAUACCAUCGGAUGUGCCCAGGUGGGAUUAGCUAGUAGGUGGGGUAACGGCCCACCAAGGCGACGAUCCGUAGCUGGUCUGAGAGGAUGACCAGCCAAACUGGAACUGAGACACGGUCCAGACUCCUACGGGAGGCAGCAGUGGGGAAUAUUGGACAAUGGGCGCAAGCCUGAUGCAGCCAUGCCGCGUGGAUGAAGAAGGCCUUCGGGUUGUAAAGCCCUUUCAGCGGGGAGGCGGUACCCAAAGAAGAAGCACCGGCUAACUCCGUGCCAGCAGCCGCGGUAAUUC
rnacentral:rRNA from 1 species